CGGUUUUAAGGGGGCGGCCGGGGGCGGCUACCAUGCAGUCGACGGUGACCCCGCUUGCGGGGGGAUCAGUGGCGAACGGGUGAGUAACACGUGGGCAACCUGCCCCCGGCUCCGGGAUAACUCCAAGAAAUUGGGGCUAAUACCGGAUAUGUCCGCUAACCGCAUGGUUGGGUGGUGGAAAGGGUUUCCGGCUGGGGAUGGGCCCGCGGCCUAUCAGCUUGUUGGUGGGGUAGUGGCCUACCAAGGCGACGACGGGUAGCCGGCCUGAGAGGGCGACCGGCCACACUGGGACUGAGACACGGCCCAGACUCCUACGGGAGGCAGCAGUGGGGAAUAUUGCACAAUGGGCGCAAGCCUGAUGCAGCGACGCCGCGUGAGGGAUGACGGCCUUCGGGUUGUAAACCUCUUUCAGCAGGGAAGAAGCGCAAGUGACGGUACCUGCAGAAGAAGCGCCGGCUAACUACGCGCCAGCAGCCGCGG
rnacentral:rRNA from 1 species